UACGUAGGCAGCGAGCGUUGUUCGGAAUUACUGGGCGUAAAGAGUGUGUAGGCGGUGCUCUAAGUUCGGUGUGAAAUCUCCUGGCUCAACUGGGAGGGUGCGCCGGAAACUGGAGUGCUUGAGCGUGGGAGAGGAAAGCGGAAUUCCUGGUGUAGCAGUGAAAUGCGUAGAUAUCAGGAGGAACACCUGCGGUGUAGACGGCUUUCUGGACCAUUGCUGACGCUGAGACACGAAAGCGUGGGGAGCGAACAGG
rnacentral:rRNA from 1 species